GGCCAUUUGGUCUUGUGGUAUGAUUAUCGUUUGUGUUCCGGAGGUCCCGAGUUCGAUUCUCGGAAUGCCCC
rnacentral:tRNA from 1 species